rnacentral:tRNA from 1 species
AUUAAAAUAGCUCAAAUUUAGAGUUUUGCAUUGAAGCUGCAAAGGUGACUAUAUGUCUUUUAAUA